UUCCGCGGGUGAAACGACUUUAUUUCAAUUUAAAGACACACAGUCCUCGAAUAACCUGUAUCCACGGACUUAUUAAUGUCUACAUCGGGUUGCAUUUGACUUAAUAACCGAGUGUUCACUAUUAAUAUCAGCUCACGGUCGCGCGUCUUGCCCAAGGAAAUUGCUGCAUGCGGACCGGAGGAAGCGGGGAUUGAACCAUCGUCGUUCAGCAGGUAAUCAUUCUUGGGAGGAAGUUGUGUGGCACUGGGUCGAUUGCUGGGCAAACUGCGACAUGAGAAAAAAAAAAAAAAUGCGAUUCAACGUUGCAGCUGCGUCGUGACUUUAUGCUGCAGUGAAAAUUCAUCACCGCCAGAUGAGAUAUGACUUUGUUCCUGUCCUGAAACGUGGCACCUCAUCAAUUUACGACGGAUUCGGAAACAAUUGCACUUCCUUACAGGAGGAAAAGAAAAAAGAGCACCGAGACUCUCUGAGGAUUUGGAGUAUGCCGUCUGGUCUGACCGCCGCUGCCACAAGGCGUUGUCUUUUAGCUUUUAUUGUAAUGUUCAGAAACACUGACCCACUGUGAACGUCAAAUUGGGAUUAAUUGCCUUUUUUUUUCUGUAAAAACGGGCCUUUGAAGCGUCUUUUGAAGCUGCGGCAUGACCUCCACUGAAGGUCUUGUGGCGUCCGACAGAAUGUGUCCUCUGACGGGCUGCAUUGAUGCAGGUAGCGUGGUGUGAGCCGUGAUGCAGAAUACUCAAUUCUGUUGGAAUUGAGUAUUCUGUAGUAGCAGUAAUAGUUUGUCAGUGCAAAAAUGCAAAGAGCAGAGACUUUUAAAUAACAAAGAUGCUUUUGUUUUGUAGUGACAACCUGUUUUUGUGUAACAAGAAACUAAAAAUAAAAGAUGAAUCUGGUGGGACGAAUAGUCUCCAAGCAGCACAGUUGGCCAUGAACCCCAGCGUCUGAGGCACCUGUCGUUGUGAAAUCUGCCAUUUAAUUGGAUUUUUUUGCAGCACAAAUUGUGCGAUGAUAAGACACCAGUGGAGACCGACGGAGGCCGAUUCGCUGUAGGCGAUGGAGUUUGAGGUGAAGUAAAUGUCUGCUGGAGUCGAGAGUGAAAGUUUUCUAGUCGUAUGACCUGAAUGUAAAGCAAGAGAGACUGGAGAAAGAAAGUGUCGCCGGCUGGUAAACUUGUUCAUUGAGUGACGGUGGAAAAAAGACACAGACUGGAAAACCGCUUCAGCUGCCGAGCUGAGCUAAAAUGGCCCUUUCUCUUUGUUCCUAAAUGCGACUUACGAAAGGGGGGACAUUAUUUUGGCAAGAACAAAGCAGUGCCGAUGUUGAUUAAGCAGGAUGUAAUACACGCAAACAGUGAUCGGUACAAACGUACUUAAUUGUCAAGCUUGACCGUUGCUAGAAAUUAGCAUUUCUCAUUUCGGAAAAAUGAGUUUUAAUUAUUGACCGGCAGGAAUCUUCCCUCGCAGGCUUCACAGCUUGGUCCUUUUCCUUCAAUUUGAGCUCACAUUUUCCUCCUGCUCCAUUAUGCUCGUCUUAUCUCUCCCUCGCGCCGAGGUGGCAGAGAAAUUAAAUUACUUAUCUCCAACUUCAUUAACUCUCUUAUCUUUGAAGAGGCACGUAUCAAACAGAAUUUUUCUCUUAAACAUCUUCCCCCUAUCCCCGGCCUUUCUUUUUUUAUGCAUAAGAUAUUUCAGCAAGGCACGGGAGAGCUGGAUGUAUUAGAUGAAGCCUAAUAUGAGAAAGAAUCGAAUUCUAUUUCAUUUGCCUGACAUGUUGAACAUGUCCUGGUUUCAUGUCUUCUGGGCUCUGUCCAUAUUCGCUGUCCUGCCUGAAUGCGCAAGAAGGGGCUGUAUUAUGAUUUGCCAACUAUUCAGGGUUCGACAGAGCUGGUGUUUAUUCUAGGAAGAAUUAAUGGUAAUUGCCAAGUCACACUAUAUUAAUAAAAGAUACGGCAUCACAAAGACCAUCAACUCACAUGAAAAGUGAGAGUAAAUUUAUCCAGUGGAAGACUGAAAUAUGUGAGCUAUUAAAAAAAAAAAAGACAGAAAAGGUUUUAUUUUUCUCCUUCCUUCGUGUGAGUCACAAACAGAACAGUCUGUCAAAAUCCUGCGUCGCCACUUUUCCCUCAGAAUGAAUUAAACUCAAUAUGAACUUCUUCUUUGUGUUGCAUAACAUGUCUCAGAGCAGCUUAAGUUUUCAAGGACAUAUCAAAUCUGGAUUUUUGCGCGCGUGGUGUACAGUCAAAACACAUCUUCAACAAACAAAAGUACUUCCAAAGGGAAAUUACAAAUCGGAUUUAAUUAGGGCCUUGUAUCCUGUUUUGCUUUCUGAUAAUCUUGUCAGGAGAUGGAGCUCGGUAAAAACAAUGAUUGUGUUUCAUUCAAUUAGGCAGAGCUUCAACAGUAACAUUGAUUGAGCUUGUUAUGAAGACUGUUAUUAUAUAAAGUCCAUCAAAUGUGGCAUUUUUUCUAACACGAAACACAGAGCUGAAACACAAGAUGACAGAAAAAUGCAUUCAGUUGAAAAACCAUGUAAUGUGUAUGUUGUUUGGUGUUUAGCUGCUGUUCACUGUAAUUCUAGCAAUAAUUAAUUUAUUUUGAAUUGUAUUUGUUUGUAGCUCCAAAUCACAACAGACACUAUCUCAAGGCACUUUACAUAGUAACCUAACAGUUCCCACAACUUUAACAGGAAUCAGUAUUGUCCACAUUCAAGAUGUCAUUUUGUAUUUUGCAAAACAGCUACUUACAAAUUACUUUUGUAUGCAGAUGAUGCAGAACUUCUAUCCCACCACCUAUAUGAUUGCAUUCUCCAUCUCGUUCUUUCGGUCAUUACCCAGAGCUCAUGACCAUAUAGGUGAGGGCUGGAAUGUUGAUCGACCAGUAAAUCGAAAGUUUUAGCCCUUUCGGCUCAGCUCCCUCCCGGCCGAAAUGAGCUUCCUC